GGGUGGAGGAGGGUAUGUGGGACAAGGAGGGGUAGGGGUCGGAGGUCAGCCUCAGGGCUACCAGAGGACGUCUAGUCAGGACCUGUCAUCUUAUGGAUACGGGGGCGGGCAGGUGGCGCCGUCGGGCGGGGGGUUCGGAUUGGCCGACGGGACAGGGGCGGACUUGGACUCAAGUGACGGUUGGAUGGAAGAGUUCUUCCCCAACCAAUAGCAGAGCUGGAAAUGUACUGGGGAGUUUUUACUGGAGGGACUAACGACAAACUGCGUGGGGGAAACUUUAUUGAGACGAGAGAACUGGACAGACAAACGGACAGUCGCCAUAUUUUGUUUUGUAAAGCAUGAACGGACAAGAAGAAGAGUUCUGUGUCGUGCAUUUAGUUGUGUGUAUGGUAAACGUGGUCUGGUGGUUGUGAAAUAUCAUUCAAGAAAGGGAAGUGAAUUUGGUUUUGUUGUCCUUUUGGGCCAUGUUUUAAACCCAACCCUUUAGCAGUGUGUCAACUGGGCCGAUAGGUUAAGACAGGAGAGACAGGAGACUGACUACAAGACAGGAGAGACAGGAGACUGACUACAAGACAGGAGAGACAGGAGACUGACUACAAGACAGGAGAGACAGGAGACUGACUACAAGACAGGAGAGACAGGAGACUGACUACAAGACAGGAGAGACGGGAGACUGACUACAAGACAGGAGAGACAGGAGACUGACUACAAGACAGGAGAGACAGGAGACUGACUACAAGACAGGAGAGACAGGAGACUGACUACAAGACAGGAGAGACGGGAGACUGACUACAAGACAGGAGACUGACUACAAGACAGGAGACUGACUACAAGACAGGAGAGACGGGAGACUGACUACAAGACAGGAGAGACAGGAGACUGACUACAAGACAGGAGACUGACUACAAGACAGGAGACUGACUACAAGACAGGAGAGACGGGAGACUGACUACAAGACAGGAGAGACGGGAGACUGACUACAAGACAGGAGAGAGACAGGAGACUGACUACAAGACAGGAGACUGACUACAAGACAGGAGACUGACUACAAGACAGGAGAGACGGGAGACUGACUACAAGACAGGAGAGAGACAGGAGACUGACUACAAGACAGGAGAGACAGGAGACUGACUACAAGACAGGAGAGAGACAGGAGACUGACUACAAGACAGGAGAGACGGGAGACUGACUACAAGACAGGAGAGAGACAGGAGACUGACUACAAGACAGGAGAGAGACGGGAGACUGACUACAAGACAGGAGAGAGACAGGAGACUGACUACAAGACAGGAGACUGACUACAAGACAGGAGACUGACUACAAGACAGGAGACUGACUACAAGACAGGAGAGACAGGAGACUGACUACAAGACAGGAGAGACAGGAGACUGACUACAAGACAGGAGACUGACUACAAGACAGGAGACUGACUACAAGACAGGAGAGAGACAGGAGACUGACUACAAGACAGGAGAGAGACAGGAGACUGACUACAGGACAGGAGAGAGACAGGAAACUGACUACAAGACAGGAGACUGACUACAAGACAGGAGAGACAGGAGACUGACUACAAGACAGGAGAGAGACAGGAGACUGACUACAAGACAGGAGAGAGACAGGAGACUGACUACAAGACGGGAGACUGACUACAAGACGGGAGACUGACUACAAGACGGGAGACUGACUACAAGACGGGAGACUGACUACAAGACAGGAGAGACAGGAGACUGACUACAAGACAGGAGACUGACUACAAGACAGGAGAGACGGGAGACUGACUACAAGACAGGAGAGAGACAGGAGACUGACUACAAGACAGGAGAGACAGGAGACUGACUACAAGACAGGAGAGACAGGAGACUGACUACAAGACAGGAGAGACGGGAGACUGACUACAAGACAGGAGAGAGACAGGAGACUGACUACAAGACAGGAGAGAGACAGGAGACUGACUACAAGACGGGAGACUGACUACAAGACGGGAGAGAGACAGGAGACUGACUACAAGACAGGAGAGACAGGAGACUGACUACAAGACAGGAGAGACAGGAGACUGACUACAAGACAGGAGAGACAGGAGACUGACUACAAGACAGGAGACUGACUACAAGACAGGAGACUGACUACAAGACAGGAGACUGACUACAAGACAGGAGACUGACUACAAGACAGGAGAGACGGGAGACUGACUACAAGACGGGAGAGAGACAGGAGACUGACUACAAGACAGGAGAGACAGGAGACUGACUACAAGACAGGAGAGACAGGAGACUGACUACAAGACAGGAGAGACAGGAGACUGACUACAAGACAGGAGAGACAGGAGACUGACUACAAGACAGGAGAGACAGGAGACUGACUACAAGACAGGAGAGACGGGAGACUGACUACAAGACAGGAGAGACAGGAGACUGACUACAAGACAGGAGAGAGACAGGAGACUGACUACAAGACAGGAGAGAGACAGGAGACUGACUACAAGACGGGAGACUGACUACAAGACGGGAGACUGACUACAAGACAGGAGAGACAGGAGACUGACUACAAGACAGGAGACUGACUACAAGACAGGAGAGACGGGAGACUGACUACAAGACAGGAGACUGACUACAAGACAGGAGAGAGACAGGAGACUGACUACAAGACAGGAGAGAGACAGGAGACUGACUACAGGACAGGAGAGAGACAGGAAACUGACUACAAGACAGGAGACUGACUACAAGACAGGAGAGAGACAGGAGACUGACUACAAGACAGGAGAGAGACAGGAGACUGACUACAAGACAGGAGAGAGACAGGAGACUGACUACAAGACGGGAGACUGACUACAAGACGGGAGACUGACUACAAGACAGGAGAGACAGGAGACUGACUACAAGACAGGAGAGACGGGAGACUGACUACAAGACAGGAGACUGACUACAAGACAGGAGAGACAGGAGACUGACUACAAGACAGGAGAGAGACGGGAGACUGACUACAAGACAGGAGAGACAGGAGACUGACUACAAGACAGGAGAGACAGGAGACUGACUACAAGACAGGAGAGACAGGAGACUGACUACAAGACAGGAGAGACAGGAGACUGACUACAAGACAGGAGAGACAGGAGACUGACUACAAGACAGGAGAGACAGGAGACUGACUACAAGACAGGAGAGAGACAGGAGACUGACUACAAGACAGGAGACUGACUACAAGACAGGAGACUGACUACAAGACAGGAGACUGACUACAAGACAAGAGACUGACUACAAGCUCUCAAACAGGGGAGAAUCGUUUUAAUAUUUGUUUUUCAAUAUAGGGGUAGGAAAUCUAUAUGUAUUUUUCCAGUAUUAGUUUUUCUUCGAUACCUGGGUUAUUGGAUUGUGUCUGACAGGUUUGACAUCUAUCCCCUCCACGUUAUAUUCAUGCUGUGUGUGAUGGCGUGUGAUCGUAGCAUUUCUACACAUGCAGGUCCCUUUGAAAGACAGACGAGAGACAGACAGACAGACAAGCAGACAGACAGGCAGACAAGGAGAUAAAUACACACACACGCCGUCACGUCAACCCACUUCUGUGACAGCCGUCAGAGCUCAGAAGAGAGCUGUCACCUCUGUCUAUCUGAGAAGUGGUUGAGAUCACUCUCUCUCUACUCGCAUUUCUUCCCUGUUUCACAUUUCUAUUCACCCUCCCCUCUCUCCCUCCCUUCCCACUCUUUCCCUCCCUCUCUCCCUCCCUUCCCACUCUUUCCCUCCCUCUCUCACUCCCUGCCCAACCUCUCUCUUUCUCACUCUCCCUUCCCUACGUCCCCUCGCUCGCUCUCCCUCCCUUCCCACUCUUUCCCUCCCUCUCUCCCUCCCUUCCCACUCUUUCCCUCCCUUCCCACUCUUUCCCUCCCUCUCUCCCUCCCUUCCCACUCUUUCCCUCCCUUCCCACUCUUUCCCUCCCUCUCUCACUCCCUGCCCCCCUCUCUCUUACUCACUCUCCCUUCCUUCCGUCCCCUCGCUCUCCCUCCCUUCCCACUCUUUCCCUCCCUACCCCCUGUCUCUUUCUCACUCUCCCUUCC
rnacentral:lncRNA from 1 species